CUCCCUGCUGCGUGUCAGCCAGGCUGGGCUGCUCCUUGCCUACUCCAUCCUGGGGGAAGCCCAGCAGCGGAUGGGGGACAAGCAGGAGGACGUCACGGCCAACGUGAUGCACCAGCUCCGCAUCAUCCGGCACUUGCGUCAGGUCCUCAAGGCACUGCAAGGGCUGUGCCUCUGAAGAGUCCAGGAACUCCCGCUCCCUGCUGCAGGAGCCUCCUUCCCAGCUGUCUUCCAGGCCCUGAGAUCUGGCACAGCCUCCCAGAUGGGCGCAUCCUGCAGCUGAGCCACCUCGGGGCAAUGGGAACAAGUCACCUCAUCCCCUCAAACCAAGCUGUGCUGGUUCUCAAAGAGGCUGAGAUGGAAGAGCCUGCUCCCUCAUGGAGGCUCUGAAGAAGGCCUGCCCAGAGCCAUGCUUGCCAUGCUGAAGAGCUCGCUGACAGCAAUCCCCAGCACAGACAAUCUCCAGCACAUCUUGGAGGUUCUGUCCCAGCUUCUCACAGAGAUAUAUCCUGCAGCCAGCACAGCUCAGGGAGCAGUGGGGACAGGUGAUCUCAUCCUGUCAAACCAAGCAACAUGAGUCUCACUGAGGCUCAGAUGAAAGAUCCCAUGCAUCUCCUGGAGAGGAUGUGUCCAGGAUCCUGGAGACUCUUUCCUGCAGGAGGUCUGAGUGGGGAGAGAGCACUCAUUGUUAUGACCCAUAGGUCUUCAACCCAGGUCUGCAGGGUUUGUGGGAGCAGCCACACUCCAGCCCUCCACCUGGAAGCCUGCUAACUGCAAACUGCUUACCACAGUUUGAGGUUCCAUUCCUGAGUUCCUAUUGGCAGAGUCCCAGAGCAGCUAAUUGACGCCCUGGCCCUCCUUAAGCCAGCACAGAAACAGGAAGUUGUCUGAACACCUGAGAUUCUCCCUGUUCUAGACCAUGUGCUACCUGCUCCAGCUCCCUCUGCCCCAGCUUGAUUUCCUGGCAUCCAGACUCGGUGUGACUCAUGGCAUCUGAUUUGUGGUUGUGAUUGCAAGUUUGUCUUUUGCUUUGGGUCUUCCAGUAUCCUGACCCAGCUGACUCUCAGCUCCUGUCUUGUGAGUGUGGACUCUGGCUCUGACCACUAGGUCUGGCUGCUCCUGACCUGACACUGACUUUUGUACAAUUUCUCCAAUGCCCUUUUCAGCUCCCCAGCUCUGCUACCUCCAGCAAGACACACCAAUCCCUUGGCUCCCAGAGUCUUGGUUGCCUGCUAUUCCAGGGCUGAGGGGUAGUGCUUGUAUUGCCCCCACCUCAGCUGCUUUUCCUAUGGGAAUCUCUCUAGAGCAGAGGAGAAAUCUCCUCUUCUCUUAGAAUCAGUCCUGGCAGCAACUCCACCCACCCUGGCCUCAGCUGAGCUACUUUCUUUACCUGGGAUCAAGGACCAGUUUUGAGGCUUUUGGCAUGUAGGUGUAGGUGGGGGCAGAUGCUCGAGCUCCAGCAGUUCCCACUGGAGGAUACCGCCCUAUCUUUCUAUGGUCUGACUAGGGCUCACCGUCCAUCCAGGAUCUGAACACCAGAUGGGAGCUGAUAGAUUGUCCUUGGUGGGCCAUGUUCCUGUGUGGGAUGGAGCUGUGUGCCAGAGAGGGCCAGGAGAAGGUGCACCACACAUGGCCAGGACUGGGCUAAACAAUCUGUAAUGACAGAUGAGUCAAACCAUGGCCACAUAAAGAUACCUUGGGCAUCCAUGGGGACUGAAUCUGGGCCCUUUGCUGCCAAGAGCACAACUCACUCCAACUUGAGUCAUUACGGUAGUGACCCCUGCCAGCCCCUCUGAGGGGGGUCUGUAUUAUCUCUGUUAGCUGGUGCAUGGGGAUAAAAAGUGACUGACUGCAAGGUCACCCACAACGGCACUGAGCAGGGCAGGACUGAAGCACAGCCCUGAUAACACUCCAGCUUCAACCACUAGACCACACUCAUUUCCAAAGCCAGAGAACUCAGGAGCCCUGACUCUCACAGCCAGUCCUUAAAUGACAAGAGCAAACUCCCUCCCACCCAGGAAGCCAUAGAAAGGACCAUCUGCUGAGCCCUGCUCUGCAAUGUCACUGUCAGAGACCAUUGCUGAUGGGUGCCAGGUGACUGAGCAGGGAGCUCCUGGAGAGACUCCUAGGGAAUGGUCAGUCAUGUUUCACUGUGACCCUCUGGGAGCCAUGGAAAGAGUGCAGCACUGAAGACACUUUUCUGCUCUAACAAAGGGUUUAUGUUCUCCUAGAAAGUCAGCCAGUGAGGCCAGUUUGCAGAAUGUGGAAGAGCUGUUUGGCGAUGGGUUGGAGGAUUCAUCAUGUAGGUGGCAGCGGAUGGAAGUGAAAGAGUAAAGCUGGACCAUCCGCUGAGCUGCUGCAAUCAAGUGAGCACAGCCAGGGAGAGAAGAGGGAGAACUCAAAGGUGGCUGGCAGCUGCAGGGGGGAAAAGCAG